rnacentral:rRNA from 1 species
UACAGAGGGUGCGAGCGUUGUUCGGAAUUAUUGGGCGUAAAGGGCGCGUAGGCGGUGCGGUAAGUCACCUGUGAAAUCUCCUGGCUCAACUGGGAGCUUGCAGGCGAAACUGCCGUGCUGGAGUGUGGGAGAGGUGCGUGGAAUUCCCGGUGUAGCGGUGAAAUGCGUAGAUAUUCGGAAGAACACCAGUGGCGAAGGCGACACACUGGCCCAUUACUGACGCUGAGGCUCGAAAGCGUGGGGAGCAAACAGG